UUUGCAAAUGCCAUCCCCACGAUCCAGUCUGAUGGAACAGUGCCCAACUAUUCAGUGUGAGCUCUCUCCCCUGCACAGCUCAAAGGGGGGGGGGUGUGACCAUCCAUACCCAGCGCUCCUACGGUAAGUGCUUUGUGGCUUCUCCAUCUACACUCCUUUCUAAAAGGAGUGAUCUACAGCUCAAGCAGCUUUGCCACUCCAGAACAUGGUGCACACUGACUUUCUGGAACCUCAUCUGUCCUUUGGAGGGAUGCUGGAGAGAAGGACAGCACAUGAGUUAACACGAAAGCCUUCAAGUUGGUGGUCUGCCCGGAAGGACGUGGCACAUAUUGCCUUACUGCUUUGUUACGAAUGUGACGCUUCACAAAGUCAUGCUCUACAGCUCAAUCAAAUCCCUCCUUGGUCCUGGAAAAGCCUCUGUGACAGUGUCUGCCUUCUUGGUGCAUCACCUCUCUAGAAUGCUCCGGCCCUUUGUGUCUUAAGUUCCUAUGUUUGUAUAACUUAAAACAUCCACUGAGUGUGUGCACGUGUGCAAGCAAUCAUACAUGGAUGAGGUUCCAAAUAUCUCAUGCUUCCCCUAACACACCUAAGGAAAUGGUAAGCUGGUCUGGGUAUCUUAAGAACAGGCUGAACACAUACAUGGCUAGCCCAAAUGGAGGGGAGAGAGCUCAGCUCCUCCACUUCCAUUUGGUCUAAUUAUUCUUGUUCCUAGAGCUUUCCAAACAUAUUCUAAUAGCAUUGAAAACCAAUGUGCAUAAAUAUUCUCAAUAGAGUGGAUAUUAUCCUGUUGAAUGGUUACUUGGCUUUACGAUCUCCAUGGCUUUCUAUUAAAGUCCACACAUUUCAAAUAACUGAGACUCAAAAUAAAACUUCUUUCUACUACUCCUUUGCUGUGUGAUUUCUGAAGCAAAUGGCUUCUUCUG